GGCCGACUAGCUCAGUUGGUUAGAGCGUCGUGCUAAUAUCUCAAAUUGUUUGCGGAUGUUAUUAACGCGAAGGUCUUGGGUUCGAUUCCCACGUUGGCCA
rnacentral:tRNA from 1 species